rnacentral:piRNA from 1 species
UUGGAUUUCCUGGACAAACUGCUGCGAUAU